rnacentral:rRNA from 1 species
AUUGAACGCUGGCGGCAGGCCUAACACAUGCAAGUCGAACGAGUGGCGGACGGGUGAGUAAUGUCUGGGAAACUGCCCGAUGGAGGGGGAUAACUACUUGAAACGGUAGCUAAUACCGCAUACACUCGGCUGUGCCCAGAUGGGAUUAGCUCGUAGGUGGGGUAACGGCUCACCUAGGCGACGAUCCCUAGCUGGUCUGAGAGGAUGACCACCCAAACUGGAACUGAGAAACGGUCCAGACUCCAACGGGAGGAAGCAGUGGGGAAUAUUGCACAAGGAGCGCAAGCCUGAUGCAGCCAUGCCGCGUGUAUGAAGAAGGCCUUCGGUUUGUAAAGUACUUUCAGCGAGGAGGCGUUACUCGCAGAAGAAGCACCGGCUAACUCCGUGCCAGCCGCCGCGGUAAUUC